rnacentral:rRNA from 1 species
GGUUAAGCGACUAAGCGUACACGGUGGAUGCCCUGGCAGUCAGAGGCGAUGAAGGACGUGCUAAUCUGCGAUAAGCGCCGGUAAGGUGAUAUGAACCGUUAUAACCGGCGAUUUCCGAAUGGGGAAACCCAGUGUGACUCGUCACACUAUCAUUAACUGAAUCCAUAGGUUAAUGAGGCGAACCGGGGGAACUGAAACAUCUAAGUACCCCGAGGAAAAGAAAUCAACCGAGAUUCCCCCAGUAGCGGCGAGCGAACGGGGAGGAGCCCAGAGCCUGAAUCAGCAUGUGUGUUAGUGGAAGCGUCUGGAAAGGCGCGCGAUACAGGGUGACAGCCCCGUACACAAAAGCGCAUGUGCUGUGAGCUCGAUGAGUAGGGCGGGACACGUGGUAUCCUGUCUGAAUAUGGGGGGACCAUCCUCCAAGGCUAAAUACUCCUGACUGACCGAUAGUGAACCAGUACCGUGAGGGAAAGGCGAAAAGAACCCCGGCGAGGGGAGUGAAAAAGAACCUGAAACCGUGUACGUACAAGCAGUGGGAGCACAGGUUUACCUGUGUGACUGCGUACCUUUUGUAUAAUGGGUCAGCGACUUAUAUUCUGUAGCAAGGUUAACCGAAUAGGGGAGCCGGAGGGAAACCGAGUCUUAACCGGGCGUUAAGUUGCAGGGUAUAGACCCGAAACCCGGUGAUCUAGCCAUGGGCAGGUUGAAGGUUGGGUAACACUAACUGGAGGGUAGAACCGACUAAUGUUGAAAAAUUAGCGGAUGACCUGUGGCUGGGGGUGAAAGGCCAAUCAAACCGGGAGAUAGCUGGUUCUCCCCGAAAGCUAUUUAGGUAGCGCCUCGUGAAUUCAUCUCCGGGGGUAGAGCACUGUUUCGGCUAGGGGGCCAUCCCGGCUUACCAACCCGAUGCAAACUGCGAAUACCGGAGAAUGUUAUCACGGGAGACACACGGCGGGUGCUAACGUCCGUCGUGAAGAAACAACCCAGACCGCCAGCUAAGGUCCCAAAGUCAUGGUUAAGUGGGAAACGAUGUGGGAAGGCCCAGACAGCCAGGAUGUUGGCUUAGAAGCAGCCAUCAUUUAAAGAAAGCGUAAUAGCUCACUGGUCGAGUCGGCCUGCGCGGAAGAUGUAACGGGGCUAAACCAUGCACCGAAGCUGCGGCAGCGAACGUAUCACUUAAAGCGAUUCAGCGGGUUACGAUUGACGGAGCGAAGCGACGUCAAAGCGUAUACAAAGUCGAGUCGGUUUAAGGAUACGUUCGUUGGUAGGGGAGCGUUCUGUAAGCCUGUGAAGGUGUGUCGUGAGGCAUGCUGGAGGUAUCAGAAGUGCGAAUGCUGACAUAAGUAACGAUAAAGCGGGUGAAAAGCCCGCUCGCCGGAAGACCAAGGGUUCCUGUCCAACGUUAAUCGGGGCAGGGUGAGUCGACCCCUAAGGCGAGGCCGAAAGGCGUAGUCGAUGGGAAACGGGUUAAUAUUCCCGUACUUGGUGUUACUGCGAAGGGGGGACGGAGAAGGCUAUGUUGGCCGGGCGACGGUUGUCCCGGUUUAAGCGUGUAGGUGUGUGUUCCAGGUAAAUCCGGUUCACUUUAACACUGAGGCGUGAUGACGAGGCACUACGGUGCUGAAGCAACAAAUGCCCUGCUUCCAGGAAAAGCCUCUAAGCAUCAGGUAACAUCAAAUCGUACCCCAAACCGACACAGGUGGUCAGGUAGAGAAUACCAAGGCGCUUGAGAGAACUCGGGUGAAGGAACUAGGCAAAAUGGUGCCGUAACUUCGGGAGAAGGCACGCUGACAUGUAGGUGAAGUGAUUUACUCAUGGAGCUGAAGUCAGUCGAAGAUACCAGCUGGCUGCAACUGUUUAUUAAAAACACAGCACUGUGCAAACACGAAAGUGGACGUAUACGGUGUGACGCCUGCCCGGUGCCGGAAGGUUAAUUGAUGGGGUCAGCGCAAGCGAAGCUCCUGAUCGAAGCCCCGGUAAACGGCGGCCGUAACUAUAACGGUCCUAAGGUAGCGAAAUUCCUUGUCGGGUAAGUUCCGACCUGCACGAAUGGCGUAAUGAUGGCCAGGCUGUCUCCACCCGAGACUCAGUGAAAUUGAACUCGCUGUGAAGAUGCAGUGUACCCGCGGCAAGACGGAAAGACCCCGUGAACCUUUACUAUAGCUUGACACUGAACAUUGAGCCUUGAUGUGUAGGAUAGGUGGGAGGCUUUGAAGCGUGGACGCCAGUCUGCGUGGAGCCGACCUUGAAAUACCACCCUUUAAUGUUUGAUGUUCUAACGUGGACCCGUAAUCCGGGUUGCGGACAGUGUCUGGUGGGUAGUUUGACUGGGGCGGUCUCCUCCUAAAGAGUAACGGAGGAGCACGAAGGUUGGCUAAUCCUGGUCGGACAUCAGGAGGUUAGUGCAAUGGCAUAAGCCAGCUUGACUGCGAGCGUGACGGCGCGAGCAGGUGCGAAAGCAGGUCAUAGUGAUCCGGUGGUUCUGAAUGGAAGGGCCAUCGCUCAACGGAUAAAAGGUACUCCGGGGAUAACAGGCUGAUACCGCCCAAGAGUUCAUAUCGACGGCGGUGUUUGGCACCUCGAUGUCGGCUCAUCACAUCCUGGGGCUGAAGUAGGUCCCAAGGGUAUGGCUGUUCGCCAUUUAAAGUGGUACGCGAGCUGGGUUUAGAACGUCGUGAGACAGUUCGCAUUCCUAUCUGCCGUGGGCGCUGGAGAACUGAGGGGGGCUGCUCCUAGUACGAGAGGACCGGAGUGGACGCAUCACUGGUGUUCGGGUUGUCAUGCCAAUGGCACUGCCCGGUAGCUAAAUGCGGAAGAGAUAAGUGCUGAAAGCAUCUAAGCACGAAACUUGCCCCGAGAUGAGUUCUCCCUGAGACUUAGAGUCUCCUGAAGGAACGUUGAAGACGACGACGUUGAUAGGCCGGGUGUGUAAGCGCAGCGAUGCGUUGAGCUAACCGGUACUAAUGAACCGUGAGGCUUAACCUU